CUUUCUCGUUGCAUCUGCCGGGACUUUCUCUGUGUUGGUGGCAAUUAGUGCGGUUUUAGGCGGGAAUUUGCUCGGGUAAGAUAUUUACCGUUAGUUAUCACGUAAAGAAGUUAACUUAAUAGAGUCUAGGCAGGCGAACCGUGUUGGCUGGCAAUCGCGCACGACCUCCUCCUGCACGCUGGAGGUUGGAUAUGUAUGAAGUGUGCUAAUUGCUUAGUGCGCGAGUAUGAGAUGCGACUGUCUUGGCUCUUGGGCUCUUCGCAAUGAAGACAGAACCAAACACAGAGAGUGAAAGGAUGAAAGCUACCCAAAGAGACGAGAGAGAAGAUACAACAUUCACAGGGUGCAGGCAAGGCCAGAAGUAUGCUCACGGCCCCAAGAAGCACUUUGACGGCGUCCAUUUCGACUGCGAUAAAGGCGAUAAAUGUGACUGCGUCGGACACUUAGUAAUUUACGUUAAAAACUGCACUCCGUAGGUUUCCUAAGUCAGCACCCUGCGGAAACCAUAUACUUUAACCAGCAACAACCUUGACUGCAGUUUCCAAUUUCCUACAGGCAGUUGCAGAAACUCCUUUCUGUAACUCAGAACCCCUUUACACUCUCAAUUUCAGUCGUCUGUUUUCUGCUGAACUCAGUAAAGUGGCCAAUCAUGCUUCUUCUCUUUCUCGCACGAUUUGAAAGCGGGCCAACAAUGCCGCUUCCAUAACAAGAGCCACAGAACGUGAGAUGCAUUACAGAGGCGCGUAAUAAGUUUAUGGGGAAAUGGUUGCAACUUGUGGUGCUGGCGUCAGCUGGGAUGUAGCACAAAAAGGACGCCACAACGAUAUAUAUAUAUAUAUUUCACAGAAACCCAAUUGACGCAGAAAGGCCUUUAAGCGGGCCUCCCUCAUUUGCACUUCUUCGCAACAAUUUGGUUCAACGCACAACUGUUUCCGUCUCAAGCUGAACACGCAUCCUUUGCGCUUGUCUACUAUUUAUGGUACACCGUCUGGAGUUGUAGGCAUGUCCUUAGCCUGGCAGUUGGUAUCAAAACAUAAAUAAAAGCUGUUUUCCGCAGCAACGCGCAUAUCAUGCAAUUCAGAAGCUAUUCUAGCUCUGUUUUAACAAGAGACAGGGGGAAAUGUAAUUGUUUUAUUUUAUUAUUUUAUUUUAUUUUAGGAUGUAUUAUGUGGUUGGUUGCACCAGGGCGACCUACGUUUCCAUUUUUUUCUUUCUACUUCUAUUACGUUCUAUUCUGUAGUUAUUUUUUCUUCUUCUGAGCAGGUUUUGCAUUCCGGUUCGUCCAGGUGCAUAAGACAAACCGAAAUUGGUGCGACGUGAUCGAACCGAGGGCAAAAGUUUUCUAAUAUACCUCACAGAACAAGAACUGAAUACGUACAAUGGACACUGCUGUCCUAAGGAUACAAGCUGUCUCCAAGCUAAACUAACGGACUAAACUAAACUGAACUUGCUUAUCCCUCAGAUAUUGUGUUGACAUUUCACAUUGGCGUUUGUUUGAGAGCUUUUACCUUUGCUUUACUUUACAAGUUAAUCCUGUUUCAACAGCAGUUCUACGUUUAACA